GGUAAUCUGCCUGUAAGACGGGGAUAACUCCGGGAAACCGGGGCUAAUACCGGAUAAUAAGAGAAGAAGCAUUUCUUCUUUUUGAAAGUCGGUUUCGGCUGACACUUACAGAUGAGCCCGCGGCGCAUUAGCUAGUUGGUGAGGUAACGGCUCACCAAGGCGACGAUGCGUAGCCGACCUGAGAGGGUGAUCGGCCACACUGGGACUGAGACACGGCCCAGACUCCUACGGGAGGCAGCAGUAGGGAAUCUUCGGCAAUGGGCGAAAGCCUGACCGAGCAACGCCGCGUGAGCGAUGAAGGCCUUCGGGUCGUAAAGCUCUGUUGUUAGAGAAGAACAAGUACGAGAGUAACUGCUCGUACCUUGACGGUACCUAACCAGAAAGCCACGGCUAACUACGUGCCAGCAGCCGCGGUAAUACGUAGGUGGCAAGCGUUAUCCGGAAUUAUUGGGCGUAAAGCGCGCGCAGGCGGUCUCUUAAGUCUGAUGUGAAAGCCCACGGCUCAACCGUGGAGGGUCAUUGGAAACUGGGAGACUUGAGUGCAGGAGAGAAAAGUGGAAUUCCACGUGUAGCGGUGAAAUGCGUAGAGAUGUGGAGGAACACCAGUGGCGAAGGCGGCUUUUUGGCCUGUAACUGACGC
rnacentral:rRNA from 1 species